GUUGGGUGUGGUGGUGCAUGCCUGUAGUCCCAGCUACUGGGGAGGCCGAGGUGGGAGGAUUGUUUGAGCCCAGGAGUUCAAGGCUGCGGUAAGCCAUCAACACACCACUGCACUCUGGCCUGGGUUAAAGAGCAAGACCCUGUCUCAA
rnacentral:SRP_RNA from 1 species